rnacentral:misc_RNA from 1 species
AAAAAACCAAGAAUGCAUCAUUUGAUAAAAGGACUUUUCAAGGAGAUAUAUUAUCUAAUAAUGAGAUAUUGUUUGGAUUCCAAUGCAAAAUUUUGAUAAAUUAUUAGAAAAUUUUUAAUAUAGUUAGAAUGUUUUGUGUAUGUUAUACUAUUUGAAUUGUAAUUUUUUAUGUGAAAAUGCAAUAUGUGAAAAACAUAGUAUGCUUUUAUUUACUUUUAUAUAAAUGGUUUAUAUUUAAUUUUUAAAAAUAUUAUCCUUUCCAUUAGGGGUGGCCAUUGGAUCGAAACUG